rnacentral:tRNA from 1 species
GCUAUUUUGGCAGAAAAAUGUUAUAAAUUUAGAAUUUAUAUAUGUAAUAUAUAUUACAAGUAGUA